rnacentral:rRNA from 1 species
GCUAUUUGAUUCAUGCUAAUAGUGGAUGCCUAGGAGAUAUUGACCGAAGAAGGACGCAUCUGGCUCGCGAAAAUCACCGGGGAAUGGCCUAAGACAUAAUGAUCCGGUGGUGUCCGAAUGGGGAAACCCUCCCGCAUUGCGGGAAGCCUGCUAUGAAGUUAUUACGAUUUAUCGUGAUAUAUAGUAGCCGGCGGGGUACCGGACCAACUGAAACAUCUAAGUAGUCCGAGGAAAAGAAAUCACAGAGAUUCCGUCAGUAGCGGCGAGCGAAAGCGGAACAGCUCAAACCACAUAGUAAUAUGUGGGGUUGUAGGACCACUUGCUUAAAUGCAAAAGAAGUUACAAAGGGAAAACAUAGAAAAACGCGUUGGAAAGCGCGGCCAAAGAAGGUGACAGCCCUGUAUUUGAAAUGAUUUCCUCUUCUUGUGAGUUCCUGAGUACCAUGGGGUACGAUUAAACCCUGUGGGAAGCCGGGGCGACCACGCUCCAAAGCUAAACAUCAAUAUCUACCGAUAGUGAACUAGUACCGCGAGGGAAAGGUGAAAAGCACCCCGGAAGGGGGAUGAAAGAGUUACUGAAACUAUUAGCUAACAAGCAGACAAAGUGCAAUUUAUUGUAUGAUGUCGUGCCUAUUGAAGAAUGAGCCGGUGAGUUUUUGUAUUGCGCAUGUCUAAGGGCGAAUCGUCCGAAGGCGAAGUGAAAGCAAUCCCUAAUUGGGAGAUAUUUUGCGCAUUGCAGAAGACCCGAAACCAGGUGAGCUAACCAUGAGCAGGGUGAACUCCGAUGAAAAUCGGAGGAAGGCCCGCACUCGUGAUCGCAGCAAUGAUCUGAGAUGACUUGUGGUUAGGGGUGACAUACUAAACGAACCUGGAGAUAGCUGGUUCUCCCCGAAAUAUAUUUUGGUAUAGCCUUAUGAAUGUUUACAGGGGGUAGAGCACUGAAUGGUCUCUGGAGGGGCAACCUUUCAGGAUCAAUCAAACUCCGAAUACCGUGUAAACUUAACAAAGAGUCAGACUUGCGGGGCUAAGCUCGUGGGUCAAAAGGGAAACAGCCCAGACUCCCAUCUAAGGUCUCUAAAUUUAAGCUAAGUUGAAAAGGAAGUCAGUGUCCUUUGACAGCUAGGAAGUUGGCUCAGAAGCAGCCAUCUUUUAAAGAAAGCGUAACAGCUCACUAGUCGAUACAGGAUACUGGCGCCGGAAAUGAUCGAGGAUUAAGCUUAAUACCGACGAUGGAGAUUUGUCCGAUUUAUCGGACGAGUGGUAGGGGAGCGUCGCAAAUGCAGUGAAGCUGUGGUGUAAACCAUGGUGGAGCGUUUGCAAGUGAGAAUGCCGGCAUGAGUAGCGUAUGACGCCUGAGAACGGCGUCCGCCGAAAAUCCAAGGUUUGCUGCGCCAUGUAAGUCAGCGCAGCGUUAGUCGGCUCCUAACGGUGGCCCGUCGUAAAGCGCGGGGUAACCGGAUGGACAACUCGUUAAAAUUCGAGUACAGAAUGUGAUGCGUUUGGCCGUAAGGCCACUAGCGCAAGCUAGAUCACCUAAGGAUGGACAAGGGUGGAAAGGAUCGCCCCGUAUUACGGGGUCUAAGUCAUAAGAAAGUUUGAGUUGGUAAAUCCGCUCAGACGUUUAUUUAAGUGGCAAAUGCAAGUUCCAAAUCGCAAGAAAGUAGAACAAGGAUCGUAAGUUUCAGCCUUCAAGAAAAGAUUCGUAGGGAGUGUCAUAUUUUGCCGUACCGCAUAACCGACACAGGUGGAUUGGUCGAGUAGACUAAGGCGACCGUGAGACAGAUGUUCAAGGAACUCGGCAACAAAAGCUGGGCGUAACCUAUGGGAGAUGCCCUGCCCCGAAUAAAAUUGGGGUUAAGCAAAAGAUUACUUAGCGACUGUUUAUCUAAAACACAGGUCCCUGCAAAGCCGAAAGGCAACGUAUAGGGGCUGACACCUGCCCAGUGCCGGUAAGUCAAUAGUGGGUGGUGAUGCUCGUAAGAGUUGAGCCGCUUUCUAAAGCUCCGGUGAACGGCAGCAGUAACUAUAACUGUUCUAUGGUAGCGAAGUUCCUUGUCGGGUGAGUUCCGACCCGCACGAAAGGUAGAACGACUGAGUAACUGUCUUGAACAUUUACACGGCGAAAUUGAGAUGGCUGUGAAGACGCGGCCUGGUUGUCCUAGGACAAAAAGACCCCGGGAGCUUUACUGUAGCUUGACAUUUGUAAGCUUAUUUUAACUGUUUAGAAUAGGAGGGAGAUCGCAAGAUCAAAAUAUGAAAUACCUCUCUUUAAGAUGAGUAAGCAUUACUCCAUUGCCGCAUAAAAAUACGGCUGGAAAACAGUGUCUGGUGGGCAGUUUAACUGGGGAGGUUGCCUCCUAAAAUGCAACGGAGGCGUACAAAGGUUGGCUAACUCCGGACGGAAAUCGGAGCUUAUUGUGCAAACGCACAAGCCAGCUUGACUGCGAGACCUACAAGUCGAGCAGGUGCGAAAGCAGGUGUUAGUGAUCCUGCGUUCCUUAGUGGUUGGGACGUAGCUUAACGGAUAAAAGCUACCCCGGGGAUAACAGGCUGAUCGCAUCCAAGCGUCCACAGCGACGAUGCGGUUUGGCACCUUAUUUGAAAAAAUCGGGGCGCCUAAGUAGCAAUACUUAAGCCUGAAUUAUUAGUAUUUGAGUCAAAAAACAAGGUACUAAUAAUUAGAAUUACUAGCUCAAAUCGGUGAAACCCUACUCUUGAACAAAAGAGGGUAAUACCGAGGGAGAUACCAGACGGUGUUUCCUGUAUCGACUGAUCCCGAUUAAAUCGGGAGAGAUAUGGAUUUUGAUGUAAUAGUCAAGUUUAUAAUUCAUAUAAUACGGCUAGCUCCCGCUGAUAAUUUUCAGCUGGGAUGAAGGUAUAGUCAAAGCUCUUAGUAAUAAGAGUUCACAAUCAAUUUUGAGUUUUUAGGUCUUUCUUGAAAUUGAUAAAAUGAUAGACAGCGAUGUCGGCUCAUCUUAGCGCGGAGGUGGAGAAGCUUCCAAGCGUCUGGCUGUUCGCCAGUUAAAAAGGUACGCGAGCUGGGUUAAGAACGUCGUAAGACAGUUCGGACUCUAUCCAGGACAACCGUUUGAGAUUUGAAAGGAGUCGCCCCUAGUACGAGAGGACUGGGGUGAGGGAAUCCCUGGUGUGCCAGUUGUACUUACAAGUGCACUGCUGGGUAGCUAGAUUCCCAUGGGAUAACCGCUGAAAGCAUCUAAGUGGGAAGCCCACCUUAAGAUAAGAUCUCUUUAAGACCCCUGAGAGACCAUCAGGUUGAUAGGCAGCAAGUGUAAGACGGGUAACCGUUUCAGCUAAGCUGUACUAAUAGGUCAAUACCAAAUAGCGU